rnacentral:lncRNA from 1 species
AGAAGAUCUGCAGCAUUUAACUGAGCAACAGUCUGGGCCAGAGAAUGGAGGAAGUUUUGAUACCAUGAAGGUCUCUAAAUUUGUACAUGUCCAUAGGUAAUGUUCAUUUCUGUCCUGUAAGCUGGCACACUCUUCACUCCCCUGAUGUGGACUCAGGGCUGAUCAGCUCAGCUGAAGGCACUGCCUGGGAGGUAACUGCUGUUACCUGGGAUCAGGAUGCACCACAGGAAAAGCAUUAAAUUUCCCUUCCCUCCCCUCCUGCAAGGACAGAAGCAACAAGGUGCAACCUCUUUCUUAAGCCAUCUGAUUUUUCUCCAUGGACUUUGGUGUAAGAAGGACUGUCUCGUCCUGAACUGUCUUUACUUCUUUAAAGAGAAAGACUUGGUCAUUUUCCAGAGAUGGGGAAAUGGGAUACUUCCAGUUAUCUUUGGUUUGGGACGGUGUUACUGAAUCCAUUUCCUGGUGGCUCUGGGGGAAGAGUAAUCGUGUUGCUCAAAACCAGGCUCAGCUAAUCCUGCUCAACUUUCACAUUAUAGAGGGACAAGGCUGAGUCUUGUACUUCUGUGAAAAGAUGUACAGUUUGCUGGCAUUUGUCCACUCUGAGGAAUAAGGACGUGCACUCUAAAAAUAAAAAAGUGAAGAAAAAUCCA